ACUCCUACGGGAGGCAGCAGUGGGGAAUUUUCCGCAAUGGGCGCAAGCCUGACGGAGCAAGACCGCGUGAGGGAGGAAGGCCUUUGGGUUGUAAACCUCUUUUCUCAGGGAAGAAGACAGUGACGGUACCUGAGGAAUCAGCCUCGGCUAACUCCGUGCCAGCAGCCGCGGUAAU
rnacentral:rRNA from 1 species